UAUAUAAUAUAUUGACGUAUUUUUUUAAUUCAUUUUAGUAGAAAAUAGUCCCUUUCUGCGUCACGACGCCUCAGUAAUGAGGAACACGUUCCUCGUCACU